CCUACGGGUGGCUGCAGUGGGGGAUAUUGCACAAUGGGCGGAACCCUGAUGCAGCGACGCCGCGUGGGUGAAGAAGCGCCUCGGCGCGUAAAGCCCUGUCAGUAGGGAAGAAAAUGACGGUACCUGUAGAAGAAUCCCCGGCUAACUACGUGCCAGCAGCCGUGGUAAUACGGAGGGGGCAAGCGUUAUCCGGAUUUACUGGGUGUAAUGGGGGCGCAGUCGGCUUUGCAAGCGAGGAGUGAAAGGCCGGGGCCCAACCCCGGGACUGCACGUGGAACUGCGUGGCUGGAGUGCAGGGGGGGCAGGCGGAAUUCGUGGUGUAGCGGUGAAAUGCGUAGAUAUCAGGAGGAACACCGGUGGCGAAGGCGGCCUGCUGGACUGCAACUGACGUUGAGGCCCGAAAGCGUGGGGAGCAAACAGGAUUAGAUACCCCAGUAGUC
rnacentral:rRNA from 1 species